rnacentral:rRNA from 1 species
UGGGGAAUAUUGCACAAUGGGCGCAAGCCUGAUGCAGCCAUGCCGCGUGUAUGAAGACGGCCUUCGGGUUGUAAAGUACUUUCAGCGGGGAGGAAGGGAGUAAAGUUAAUACCUUUGCUCAUUGACGUUACCCGCAGAAGAAGCACCGGCUAACUCCGUGCCAGCAGCCGCGGUAAUACGGAGGGUGCAAGCGUUAAUCGGAAUUACUGGGCGUAAAGCGCACGCAGGCGGUUUGUUAAGUCAGAUGUGAAAUCCCCGGGCUCAACCUGGGAACUGCAUCUGAUACUGGCAAGCUUGAGUCUCGUAGAGGGGGGUAGAAUUCCAGGUGUAGCGGUGAAAUGCGUAGAGAUCUGGAGGAAUACCGGUGGCGAAGGCGGCCCCCUGGACGAAGACUGACGCUCAGGUGCGAAAGCGUGGGGAGCAAACA